UAAAUUAUGAACAGAUUGGGGGUUAAUUGUAUACACCUCUGGUAAGGAGUAGAAAUUUUUUUGGAUUUAUAGAAUGAAGGAACUAUUUGAGAUAAGCCGUUUACAAAGGAUGUGUUUCUUUUAUUAAGAUACAAAGUUAUGGGGGAUUCGUAAGGGAUUAAGAUACUCAUGGAUGUGUAAGCCAUUAUAAUAAUGCUGUACAAGGGGAUUUGUAGAGUUCUAGUUAGGUUUUCCAUUAAGCUCGUUUGUGAGAAAAUCACAAGUAUUUGGGUUUCCUGGGGGAUUAAUAGUUUACAAGGUUGAUAACUUAAUUUAAUUUUCGGAAAAGGCAUCACCAGUGAGUGGAGCCUACGGAUUAAUUUGAUUCUACAACGUGAAAACUUUUCAUGUCCAGACAUAGUGUGGAUUGACAGAUUGAGAGCUCUUUCCUGAUUUUAUGGGUGGUGAGUCAUGGCCGUUCUUAGUUGGUGGAGUGAUUUGUCUGGUUAAUUCCGUUACCGAACGAGUCCACUGCCUUCUAAAUAGCCCAGUGAGUGAAUCUUCACUGACUGCUGACUUAUUAGAGGGACGUACAUUCUAUCAGAUUCAGGAGGAUAGUGGCAAUAACAGGUCUGUGAUGCCCUUAGAUGUCCUUGGCUGCACGCGCGCUACACUGAUGCAUUCACUGAGUUUUACCUUGUCCGAGAGGCCUGGGCAAUAUUUUAAACGUGCAUCGUGAUAGGGAUUGCUUAUUGCAAUUAUUAAUAAUUAACGAGGAAUUCAUAGUAUCAGCAGAUCAUCAGUCGGCAGUGAUUAAGUACUUGGCUAUUCGUAUCGCAAUUCCCGUGGCACUUCAUGAUUCAAUGCCCUUGUGAAGCCUCUUGAUUAGAUCAAUCCAAUUAAGGGGGUUAUUUGUAAUUAUAUAACUGUCAUUUAGGCUCGAGCGAUAAUUCAGCAUNGAGGUAGAGAGUAAUUAAAUAGGGUUUAAUAUUAUUGUAGUAUU
rnacentral:rRNA from 1 species